rnacentral:rRNA from 1 species
UACGAAGGGGGCUAGCGUUGCUCGGAAUCACUGGGCGUAAAGGGUGCGUAGGCGGGUUUUUAAGUCAGAGGUGAAAUCCUGGAGCUCAACUCCAGAACUGCCUUUGAUACUGAAAGUCUUGAGUAUGGGAGAGGUGAGUGGAACUGCGAGUGUAGAGGUGAAAUUCGUAGAUAUUCGCAAGAACACCAGUGGCGAAGGCGGCUCACUGGCCCAUUACUGACGCUGAGGCGCGACAGCGUGGGGAGCAAACAGG